CCUACGAGAGGCUGCAGUGAGGAAUAUUGGUCAAUGGCCGGAAGGCUGAACCAGCCAUGCCGCGUGAAGGUCAGUGCCCUAUGGGCGUUAAACUUCUUUUGUGCGGGAGCAAUAAUGGUCACGUGUGGCCAGACGAGAGUACCGUACGAAUAAGCAUCGGAUAACUCCGUGCCAGCAGCCGCGGUAAUACGGGGGAUGCAAGCGUUAUCCGGAUUUAUUGGGUUUAAAGGGUGCGUAGGCUGUGAGGUAAGUCAGCGGUGAAAUGCACCCGCUCAACGGGGUGAAGGUCCAUUGAUACUGCCUUGCUGGAAUGCGGAUGCCGUGGGAGGAAUGUGUGGUGUAGCGGUGAAAUGCAUAGAUAUCACACAGAACACCGAUUGCGAAGGCAUCUCACGAAUCCGCGAUUGACGCUGAUGCACGAAAGCGUGGGUAUCGAACAGGAGUAGAUACCCUAGUAGUC
rnacentral:rRNA from 1 species